rnacentral:rRNA from 1 species
GGAAACGAUGAUUAGUACUGGAUAUACCUACUAAUCAUAAGUUUAGUAGGGAAACGUUUUUUCGCUUCGAGAUCAGACUAUAUCCCAUCAGUUAGUUGGUAGUGUAAGAGACUACCAAGGCAAUGACGGGUAGCGGGUUUGAGAGGAUGAUCCGCCACACUGGUACUGAGACACGGACCAG